UACGUAGGUGGCAAGCGUUGUCCGGAAUUACUGGGCGUAAAGGGCGUGUAGGCGGGCUAUUAAGUCAGAUGUGAAAUAUCCGGGCUCAACCUGGAGGGUGCAUCUGAUACUGGAAGCCUUGAGUGCAGGAGAGGACAGUGGAAUUCCUAGUGUAGCGGUGAAAUGCGUAGAUAUUAGGAGGAACACCAGUGGCGAAGGCGGCUGUCUGGACUGUAACUGACGCUGAGGCGCGAAAGCGUGGGGAGCAAACAGG
rnacentral:rRNA from 1 species